UCCUACGGGAGGCAGCAGUGAGGAAUAUUGGUCAAUGGACGCAAGUCUGAACCAGCCAUGCCGCGUGCAGGAAGACGGCUCUAUGAGUUGUAAACUGCUUUUGUACAAGGGUAAACCCCGAUACGUGUAUCGGGCUGAAAGUACUGUACGAAUAAGGAUCGGCUAACUCCGUGCCAGCAGCCGCGGUAAU
rnacentral:rRNA from 1 species